rnacentral:rRNA from 1 species
CCUACGGGUGGCAGCAGUGGGGAAUAUUGGACAAUGGGCGAAAGCCUGAUCCAGCCAUGCCGCGUGUGUGAAGAAGGCCUUCGGGUUGUAAAGCACUUUCAGUGGGGAAGAAAGCCUUGGGGCUAAUACCCUCGAGGAAGGACAUCACCCACAGAAGAAGCACCGGCUAACUCCGUGCCAGCAGCCGCGGUAAUACGGAGGGUGCGAGCGUUAAUCGGAAUUACUGGGCGUAAAGCGCGCGUAGGCGGUCUGAUAAGUCGGUUGUGAAAGCCCCGGGCUCAACCUGGGAACGGCAUCCGGAACUGUCAGGCUAGAGUGCAGGAGAGGAAGGUAGAAUUCCCGGUGUAGCGGUGAAAUGCGUAGAGAUCGGGAGGAAUACCAGUGGCGAAGGCGGCCUUCUGGACUGACACUGACGCUGAGGUGCGAAAGCGUGGGUAGCAAACAGGAUUAGAUACCCUAGUAGUC